AUACGGAGGAUGCAAGCGUUAUCCGGAAUCAUUGGGUUUAAAGGGUCCGUAGGCGGAUUGGUAAGUCAGUGGUGAAAGUCUGCAGCUUAACUGUAGAAUUGCCAUUGAUACUGCUAGUCUUGAAUUACUGUGAAGUGAUUAGAAUGUGUAGUGUAGCGGUGAAAUGCAUAGAUAUUACACAGAAUACCAAUUGCGAAGGCAGAUCACUAACAGUAUAUUGACGCUGAGGGACGAAAGCGUGGGGAGCGAACAGGAUUAGAUACCCUAGUAGUCC
rnacentral:rRNA from 1 species